rnacentral:rRNA from 1 species
GACGUAGGGCGCGAGCGUUGUCCGGAUUUAUUGGGCGUAAAGAGCUCGUAGGCGGCUUGUUGCGUCGAUCGUGAAAACUUGGGGCUUAACCCUAAGCUUGCGGUUGAUACGGGCAGGCUAGAGUUCGGUAGGGGAGACUGGAAUUCCUGGUGUAGCGGUGAAAUGCGCAGAUAUCAGGAGGAACACCGGUGGCGAAGGCGGGUCUCUGGGCCGAUACUGACGCUGAGGAGCGAAAGCGUGGGGAGCGAACAGG